rnacentral:rRNA from 1 species
UGGCCGUAAACGAUGUGGACUUGGUGUUGGAAUGGCUCCGAGCUGCUCCAGUGCCGAAGGGAAGCUGUUAAGUCCACCGCCUGGGAAGUACGGUAGCAAGACUGAAACUUAAAGGAAUUGGCGGGGGAGCACCACAACGCGUGGAGCCUGCGGUUUAAUUGGAUUCAACACCGUAAAACUCACCAGGGAAGACUGUUACAUGAAGGCCGAGAUGAAGACUCUGCUAGAUUUUCAGAGAGGUGGUGCAUGGCGUCAGUGACU